GAUGAACGCUGGCGGCGUGCCUAAUACAUGCAAGUCGAGCGAACAGACGAGGAGCUUGCUCCUCUGACGUUAGCGGCGGACGGGUGAGUAACACGUGGAUAACCUACCUAUAAGACUGGGAUAACUUCGGGAAACCGGAGCUAAUACCGGAUAAUAUUUUGAACCGCAUGGUUCAAUAGUGAAAGACGGUGUUGCUGUCACUUAUAGAUGGAUCCGCGCUGCAUUAGCUAGUUGGUAAGGUAACGGCUUACCAAGGCGACGAUGCGUAGCCGACCUGAGAGGGUGAUCGGCCACACUGGAACUGAGACACGGUCCAGACUCCUACGGGAGGCAGCAGUAGGGAAUCUUCCGCAAUGGGCGAAAGCCUGACGGAGCAACGCCGCGUGAGUGAUGAAGGUCUUCGGAUCGUAAAACUCUGUUAUUAGGGAAGAACAAAUGUGUAAGUAACUGUGCACGUCUUGACGGUACCUAAUCAGAAAGCCACGGCUAACUACGUG
rnacentral:rRNA from 1 species